AGAUCUUUCUACAGAAAUAACCACUGACAGUUCCUAAUUUUUGUCUUCAGGAAUAUGGAAACCUAGAAGUUUUUCCACAUUCAUCCCUAAUCUCAGUGUAUGUGAAGGCACCACUGUACUUUCAAAGGUGGAUCACCAGCAUGUGCAGCUAUCAGAUUCCAGGCACCAAAGCAGUCAAACCAGAAGAUGUUUCCAAAGCACCCCACUGUGACGGAUGUUAUAAAGUGUAUUUUACUGGUUCAACUGAUAUAGC